CGGACGGGUGGAGUAACGCGUGGAAAACCUGCCGUAUACUGGGGGAGUAACACUUAGAAAUAGGUGCUAAUACCGCAUAAGCGCACAGCUUCGCAUGAAGCGGUGUGAAAAACUCUGGUGGUAUACGAUGGUUCCGCGUCUGAUUAGCUAGUUGGUGGGGUAAUGGCCUACCAAGGCAACGAUCAGUAGCCGGCCUGAGAGGGUGAACGGCCACAUUGGGACUGAGACACGGCCCAAACUCCUACGGGAGGCAGCAG
rnacentral:rRNA from 1 species